GACGAACGCUGGCGGCGUGCUUAACACAUGCAAGUCGAACGGAAAGGCCCUGCUUUUGUGGGGUGCUCGAGUGGCGAACGGGUGAGUAACACGUGAGUAACCUGCCCUUGACUUUGGGAUAACUUCAGGAAACUGGGGCUAAUACCGGAUAGGAGCUCCUGCUGCAUGGUGGGGGUUGGAAAGUUUCGGCGGUUGGGGAUGGACUCGCGGCUUAUCAGCUUGUUGGUGGGGUAGUGGCUUACCAAGGCUUUGACGGGUAGCCGGCCUGAGAGGGUGACCGGCCACAUUGGGACUGAGAUACGGCCCAGACUCCUACGGGAGGCAGCAGUGGGGAAUAUCGCACAAUGGGCGGAAGCCUGAUGCAGCAACGCCGCGUGCGGGAUGACGGCCUUCGGGUUGUAAACCGCUUUCGACUGUGACGAAGCGUGAGUGACGGUAAUGGGUAAAGAAGCACCGGCUAACUACGUG
rnacentral:rRNA from 1 species